GACGAACGCUGGCGGCGUGCUUAACACAUGCAAGUCGAACGGUGAAGCGCCUUCCUUUUUGGUGGGUGUGGAUGAGUGGCGAACGGGUGAGUAACACGUGAGUAACCUGCCCCCUUCUUCUGGAUAACCGCAUGAAAGUGUGGCUAAUACGGGAUAUUCUGGGUCUGUCGCAUGAUGGGUCUGGGAAAGAUAUUGUUUCGGUGGGGGAUGGGCUCGCGGCCUAUCAGCUUGUUGGUGGGGUGAUGGCCUACCAAGGCGGUGACGGGUAGCCGGCCUGAGAGGGUGGACGGUCACACUGGGACUGAGACACGGCCCAGACUCCUACGGGAGGCAGCAGUGGGGAAUAUUGCACAAUGGGCGCAAGCCUGAUGCAGCGACGCCGCGUGAGGGAUGGAGGCCUUCGGGUUGUGAACCUCUUUCGCCAGUGAAGCAGGCCUGCCUCGUUUGUGGGUGGGUUGACGGUAGCUGGAGAAGAAGCGCCCGCUAACUACGUG
rnacentral:rRNA from 1 species